AGAAACAGUAUCGAAGAAUGAACUGAGAAACCGUUAUUCUUCGUUUCUUUCUUCUGAUCGAACUUCUUCUUUUUCACUGUUCUUCUAGUUUUUUCUUCUCAAAAGAAUGAACUGAGAAAUCGUUCAUAUCAAUUAAGAAGAAAUCUGUAGAAGUAAAUGAAUCAGGAAGGUUUUACUGAGGUUGUGAAUUUGGUUUUGGUUAGGGUUAUUCUUGAUUGAAGAAAGACAAAUCAGUAAGAAAUAGAAUUAGGGUUUCUGCAGUUAGUAUUGAGUUUGUGUAAAAUCGAAGGAGGAAUUGGUAGAUUGAGUAACAUAAGUAGGAGACAAUAUAGUUAUAUUGACUCGGGUUACAGAGGAUAGGGUAAAUCAGGAAGAUGAAGUUAGGGUUUGGAAAUUGAUUUAAUGUUCAAUUAGUGACAGAUGGGAAGAAAUCAAAGACUGGGUUUGGUGAUUUGAGAAGUGAAUCGAUAUUUUGGAACGAUGUUUCUGAGAAUAGAUGAUGGUGAUUGAAGAUGAAACGGAUGGUUAAGGUUUGGAAUUUGAUUUAAGGUUACGGUAAAAUUGAGAAAAAGUGAAGUAAAGGAGGCUUUGGUCAAGUAUAUGUUGGUAGAAGGGUUUCAGGUGGAAGUAAGACUUCUUUUCUAACUAUUGUAGAAGUAUAGAAUCGAUAGACAUGGUUUUUUUUUAUGAUUGUCAGUGUUAUCUUGAGUUAUUGUUGUUUUGUAUUCUUUCAAGUCUCGUGCGAUGGAAAGUCUAAUGAUCAAAUUGCUCAUGGGAAAUCCUAUUUUGAUCGUUUACGUGUUGCGGUUUAUGAAGCCUUGCCUAUUUUCUGUCAUGUCGAACCAGAAUGGAAGCCAACUAGUUCAAAAACUUUGCAAACAUGUGCAAAAUAUGUACUUGGGGGAUUUAUACGAAAUACCAGUGAUAAACUGGGAUAAGCUUGCUACUAUGGAACAAGGAUGUUUCUAUCUCAAAGCUAUUAUUGAAUCCAUAGACGCGUCUCAAAUUUCAGCUGCUAUCAAUCAUCAUAGACCAGGCC